rnacentral:rRNA from 1 species
AGAGUUUUGAUCCUGGCUCAGGAUGAACGCUGGCGGCGUGCCUAAUACAUGCAAGUCGAGCGAACAGAUAAGGAGCUUGCUCCUUUGAAGUUAGCGGCGGACGGGUGAGUAACACGUGGGUAACCUACCUAUAAGACUGGGAUAACUUCGGGAAACCGGAGCUAAUACCGGAUAACAUUUAGAACCGCAUGGUUCUAAAGUGAAAGAUGGUUUUUGCUAUCACUUAUAGAUGGACCCGCGCCGUAUUAGCUAGUUGGUAAGGUAACGGCUUACCAAGGCGACGAUACGUAGCCGACCUGAGAGGGGUGAUCGGCCACACUGGAACUGAGACACGGUCCAGACUCCUACGGGAGGCAGCAGUAGGGAAUCUUCCGCAAUGGGCGAAAGCCUGACGGAGCAACGCCGCGUGAGUGAUGAAGGGUUUCGGCUCGUAAAACUCUGUUAUUAGGGAAGAACAAAUGUGUAAGUCACUGUGCACAUCUUGACGGUACCUAAUCAGAAAGCCACGGCUAACUACGUG